UAAGCCAUGCAUGUCUAAGUUCAAACUUUCACAUAGUGAAACCGCGAAUGGCUCAUUAGAUCAGUUAUGGUUCCUUAGAUCGUACAACUCCACUCGGAUAACUGUGGCAAUUCUAGAGCUAAUACGUGCAAGAAAGCUCUGACCUCGCGGGAAGAGCGCUUUUAUUAGUUCAAAACCAAUCGGGUCCGAAGGCCCGUCCGUUUGGUGACUCUGGAUAACUUUGUGCUGAUCGCACGGCCUCGAGCCGGCGACGUAUCUUUCAAAUGUCUGCCCUAUCAACUUUAGAUGGUACGUGAUAUGCCUACCAUGGUUAUAACGGGUAGCGGGGAAUCAGGGUUCGAUUCCGGAGAGGGAGCAUGAG
rnacentral:rRNA from 1 species